UGGGGAAUUUUGGACAAUGGGCGAAAGCCUGAUCCAGCCAUGCCGCGUGCAGGAUGAAGGCCUUCGGGUUGUAAACUGCUUUUGUACGGAACGAAAAGCCUCUUUCUAAUAAAGAGGGGUCAUGACGGUACCGUAAGAAUAAGCACCGGCUAACUACGUGCCAGCAGCCGCGGUAAUACGUAGGGUGCAAGCGUUAAUCGGAAUUACUGGACGUAAAGCGUGCGCAGGCGGUUUUGUAAGACAGAGGUGAAAUCCCCGGGCUCAACCUGGGAACUGCCUUUGUGACUGCAAGGCUGGAGUGCGGCAGAGGGGGGAUGGAAUUCCGCGUGUAGCAGUGAAAUGCGUAGAUAUGCGGAGGAACACCGAUGGCGAAGGCAAUCCCCUGGGCCUGCACUGACGCUCAUGCACGAAAGCGUGGGGAGCAAACAGGAUUAGAUACCCCUGGUAGUCCACGCCCUAAAACGAUGUCAACUGGCUUGUUGGGGUCUUCACUGACUCAGUAACGAAGCUAACGCGUGAAGUUGACUGCCUGGGGAGUACGGCCGCAAGGUUGAAACUUAAAGGAAUUGAC
rnacentral:rRNA from 1 species